GCUUGAAGACAUCAAAUUGCAGUUGAAGUAACGGCAGAGGGAAAAGCAAGGGCAACAACAACAAACCACUUCACUCCUCUGGGUGGAAACAUGCAAUUGUACCAAGAGGGAUAAGGAAAAAACUGCUCAUGUUUGCAGAAAGAAGUUGGAAUAAGGGCGUGAAAGCAGGCGGGCUACUUUAGCAUCUGAUGCCAGGGAUAUGAGAGAGUAGCCCAGUGUGUUCAUUCAAAAAGUAAGGCUCUGAGGCCAGGACCAGGAAAGAUCCUGGAGUCCCCAGUCACAAUGGCAUGAAGCAGGAUGAUGCAGAGAGGCUAAGGGGGUGAUUCAGUGGGUUCUUUACCUAUAAAAAUGAUGGAAACCCCAACAUCAGCUGGGCAAGUGGCCCUGUUCAGAGCUCCUGGACUCGCC
rnacentral:lncRNA from 1 species